UUUCUCCACCAUGGGGGCUUUUCUCACUCUUCCAACUGGCUCCGGCUCGACCCUGGCUCAUCAGAUGGCAGAGCAUUCAAGAGGCAGCUCGGUCGAGGGCUCACCGAGUGAUGAAAAGAUAAUCACCUGCUUCAGGUCAAAUGGGUCUUCUAAUGCCAACGGCCUCCACGUUAAAUGACAACCAGUGUUUUUGACUCGUAUUCAACCUAGACCACUGGAGGAGGCAAUCCUCAAUGGGCUAAAUUGAUUUGAAUGAAAGAGUGCCUUGGUAGACAAAACAACUGUUAUUGUCAAGUGAGAUUCUGGGCGAUGUAAGAUGGAAUUUAUGUCUUGAAAAUUCCAACGUGGGUGGGGGAACCUGGGUGGCUCAGUCAGUUAAGAGUCCAACUGGGUGUCAGCUCAGGUCGUGAUCUUGGGAUCCCGCGAUGGAACUCUGCGUGGGGCUCCGUGUUCCGCGUGGACUCUGCAUGGAUUGUCUCCCCCUCUCCCUCUGCCUUUCCCACUCCCACGCCCGCUCUCUCUCUCUCUCUCUCUCUCUCUCUCAAAUAAAUAAAUCUUAGAGAAAAAAUUCCA
rnacentral:lncRNA from 1 species